AGCGUCCUUUCCUGAGGAUGAAGCCGGCUCCAGGUGUUGCUUUUGCAACUGCCUUUUGCCAUUGAUGAUCAUUUCUCUUUCUUUAGAAAAGUGAGAGGGAGAGGAUGCAGUCGGA
rnacentral:snoRNA from 1 species